CAUUGCCUAUCUGCUCCUUCUCUCUUAGCAGGUUACCCAUCUUCGUCCCCUCCGCCUCGCCACUGUUGUCUUCAUCACCCCCACGAGGCUGCCACAGCUACGCCUUUGAGGUUCCAGAACUCCCACGAGGGGCUUCCACAGCUGCUUCGCCGUGGGCAAACGCGCGCCGCCUCGUCCUCCCCUGCGGCCAGAAGUCGCAGGUACCCGCCUUCUAGCCAAACUCGCAGGUGGAACCUCCUUUGAGGUUGACCUCAAAACCCUAAUCCCCCGCGGCCAGAAGCUCAUCUUCAAAGAUCAUUACUCCUGAGGCUUUAGCAAGUGUAAAAGCUGCCAUCACAAGUAGUGAAGUUGAUAAAAUAGCAGAGGCAAAGAAGAAAGCAAUACCUCGUAAAGCUGCUAGGCAGACCUAGGUGGAUCCGACAUUAGCAGAUUGGCUUGAAAUUAUCUACAAUAUUUCAUCACUCUGUAACUUGGUGAAGAAGGAUCUGAUCUUGGAUAGCUCUAAGCAGUUGAUGAUGAUUUACCGAGCUUCAGCUUGAGGUGGUGUCUCGACUUCCGCAUGCAAUUGCCCUACACAGAAAUAUAAAUUGAAGUUGUGAAUCACUUUAGCUUUCUCAUUGAAAUCUAUAGGUAGAAAGGCGGAUGGGAAUUGAUAAAAGCUGGAUGAGUCUUAGGAAUCGAGCAUGUAAUGAGUAUUAGAUUGUAUUUGAUGUAACUGAGCGCAAUAUCAAUGUAGAAACAAACGAAGAGGACCUCUUAAACUAUAAUGAUGAUGACAUUGAUUCCUUUGCGAAUAAAACUUGAGCCACCUUGCUCUUAGGCAAUGGUGGGAGAAAGCAAGAAGUCCGUAGUACAAGUUCAAAAGUCUAAUAGAGCCUCGACUUCAUCACGAAGAACUGUGGAGUGUCGAUCUGAAAAACCAUGGCUUAGAUCACAAUCCCAAAAAUCUGAACCUAAUCCACCUCUCAGUGAAAAUCCACAUGCAUCCACUCAUAUUCCUUCAACUAUAACUGAUCGGUCGUCAUCUCCAACUAUUGCUAAUCCGGACACUAACACUACAGAUUCGAUGCUUCAUUUUGGAUAAGUUGCACUGUUUGUCAUUGAACAUUCAGCUAAGUUUAAUUUAAGCAAGUUCAUUUGUGAGUUAUAGUUUGAAGCACUGAACUUAGAACAGUUGACUUAUUUUUACAAAUGCAACAACUAAUUAGAAUUGUUCUUUUAUUUCUCAUGCAGGGCCGGGAUGUCUACAUCCUAGUAAGCUUAUUUUCUUGUUGUUGCCUUCUGGAAUGCAUAGAUCCAGGAUAUGCUUGGUUUGGUUUUGUUUCGUUCAUAUUUGAUUUGUCUUAGGCUUUAAAUUGUUUUAUUUUAAGAUUACUUGUGUUGGACUGUUCAUCUUCCUGUUUCUCUUUUGAGUUCUUUGUGUUUGUGAAUGCGAUUUUCAGCUUCCUAUUCAGCUUCCUAUUUCUCUUUUGAGUUCGUUGUGUUCAGCUUCCUGUUAAUGGUUUAGACUUAGAAAAUUAUUAGUACUAGUGGGCUACGCCGUUACUUAGUUACAGAAACUCCUCUCUCAUCUCAUCCUCGUGCGCUGCUGCUAGUAGAAGUUUUUGGUUUUCGGAAGGUAUUGUGUGAUUGUAGGAAACUGUAUGACUCAAAACUACUAGUUCCUCUGUGAUUCAAUUGUGAUAAUCACGUGCUUGUGCUCUUCCAGAGUUUAACUAUUUCUUGAUCUAUUUGUGGAAAGAAAAAUUAAUAAGUUGUUCUUCUUCUAGACGGCCUAUAAAAUUCCGCUUCAGGUUUUGGUGAUUGUUCUUUACUGAUUUUAACCUUUUUCUAUUCGGCAUGUUCUGUAUUUAUGUAGCGACUAUAACGAAGGCAGAGAAUGGUCCCAGAUAUCACCUUGCUUUUGUUUUAAUGUGUUGAUUGAGCAUAAAGUAUUCAUCAAAAUAUCGAACUAUAAAAACCAGAUGCUGAGUGGUCUAUAUUCUUAUUGUCCUUUAACAGUUAGUGUAAAUGCGGUGCUAGGCUGAAAAAAAUGGCUUGCAAAUUCCUGUUCUGUUGGCCCAUUCCAGUUUCUACUGCGUGCAGAGACCCUCAUUCAAUGUUCGCGACAUUCAAUCUGCAGUUUUAUCUGAUUCAUGAUAGAUAUUACAUGUACAUCUCAGCAUUCCAUUUGUCGCCAUCGACUUUUUAAGAGUGGUUGCGCUGUAACAACUCAGUAGAUUGAUUCACUACCCUCUUGAUGUCCUUGUAGCUGGUAUUCAUGAUGCUUUUAAGCCUAGAAAUUCUUCUUUAUUAUUUUUUAAGUUACUAUACGUACGUACGAGCUAGUGAUCAAGAUGGCAACUACACAAUAACAACUUUCUUUUAGACAGAAAAAGCGCUUCCAGGUGAUAGCACUUUGUUGUCUAGUUUCAAUAAAUUGUGUUUGAUUAUUAAGGCGGCUGAAUUCGGUGCAUCUGUGCCUGCUUUUGGGGUCCAUUUGGUUAACAAUUUGUUCUUCCCUGGGACCAUCCAAAGGAUUCAGCCGACACUCUUACAUUCAGUCCAUUCAAAGAUGAGCAGUACCAUUUUAUUCACUCGAAAUUUUGAUUACUUUGGCCAAACAUGGGAUCAUACUUAAUACCGUACGAUUAAGAAAAUAAGAUUUGAAGCGCUUCAAAUCUGAUUGUUUGUUUGUGAUUGAAAUAUGAGCUGAAAUAAACGUUACCUUGUUACUUGUUACUUCAUUCGCAUUCGUAUCUUACUGUUUUGUAAUUUCUUUUUAUGUAAUGCUAGUCAUAUUUGUAAUUAUUAUUCUGAUUUCUCAAAGUUACUUAGUUUCUUUGU